GGACGAACGCUGGCGGCGUGCUUACCCCAUGCAAGUCGAACGAAGAGCGAUGGAAGCUUGCUUCUAUCAAUCUUAGUGGCGAACGGGUGAGUAACGCGUAAUCAACCUGCCCUUCAGAGGGGGACAACAGGUGGAAACGACUGCUAAUACCGCAUACGAUCUAAUCUCGGCAUCGAGGAUAGAUGAAAGGUGGCCUCUACAUGUAAGCUAUCACUGAAGGAGGGGAUUGCGUCUGAUUAGCUAGUUGGAGGGGUAACGGCCCACCAAGGCGAUGAUCAGUAGCCGGUCUGAGAGGAUGAACGGCCACAUUGGGACUGAGACACGGCCCAGACUCCUACGGGAGGCAGCAGUGGGGAAUCUUCCGCAAUGGACGAAAGUCUGACGGAGCAACGCCGCGUGAGCGAUGACGGCCUUCGGGUUGUAAAGCUCUGUUAAUCGGGACGAAAGGCCUUCUUGCGAAUAGUGAGAAGGAUUGACGGUACCGGAAUAGAAAGCCACGGCUAACUACGUG
rnacentral:rRNA from 1 species